UUUUAACUAACGACACACACGUUCCGUCACGACAGUUAGGGUGCCUAUGUUCGAUCAUCGUUUAGAUGUCGCCGGGUUGACUGUUGGGGUACGUGGAGGCCUAAC
rnacentral:sRNA from 1 species